rnacentral:rRNA from 1 species
CCUACGGGUGGCAGCAGUGGGGAAUAUUGCACAAUGGGCGCAAGCCUGAUGCAGCCAUGCCGCGUGUGUGAAGAAGGCCUUCGGGUUGUAAAGCACUUUCAGCGGGGAGGAAGGCGGUGAGGUUAAUAACCUCAUCGAUUGACGUUACUCGCAGAAGAAGCACCGGCUAACUCCGUGCCAGCAGCCGCGGUAAUACGGAGGGUGCAAGCGUUAAUCGGAAUUACUGGGCGUAAAGCGCACGCAGGCGGUCUGUCAAGUCGGAUGUGAAAUCCCCGGGCUCAACCUGGGAACUGCAUUCGAAACUGGCAGGCUAGAGUCUUGUAGAGGGGGGUAGAAUUCCAGGUGUAGCGGUGAAAUGCGUAGAGAUCUGGAGGAAUACCGGUGGCGAAGGCGGCCCCCUGGACAAAGACUGACGCUCAGGUGCGAAAGCGUGGGGAGCAAACAGGAUUAGAUACCCGUGUAGUC